rnacentral:tRNA from 1 species
CCGGGAUAGCUCAGUUGGUAGAGCAGGGGAUUGAAAAUCCUC